rnacentral:rRNA from 1 species
AUUGAACGCUGGCGGCAGGCUUAACACAUGCAAGUCGAGCGGGGUGAUGGUGCUUGCACUAUCACUUAGCGGCGGACGGGUGAGUAAUGCUUAGGAAUCUGCCUAUUAGUGGGGGACAACAUCUCGAAAGGGAUGCUAAUACCGCAUACAUCCUACGGGAGAAAGCAGGGGAUCACUUGUGACCUUGCGCUAAUAGAUGAGCCUAAGUCGGAUUAGCUAGUUGGUGGGGUGAAGGGCUACCAAGGCGACGAUCUGUAGCGGGUCUGAGAGGAUGAUCCGCCACACUGGGACUGAGACACGGCCCAGACUCCUACGGGAGGCAGCAGUGGGGAAUAUUGGACAAUGGGGGGAACCCUGAUCCAGCCAUGCCGCGUGUGUGAAGAAGGCCUUAUGGUUGUAAAGCACUUUAAGCGAGGAGGAGGCUCUUUUGGUUAAUACCCAUGAUGAGUGGACGUUACUCGCAGAAUAAGCACCGGCUAACUCUGUGCCAGCAGCCGCCGUAA